rnacentral:rRNA from 1 species
GACGAACGCUGGCGGCGUGCUUAACACAUGCAAGUCGAACGGAAAGGCCCUGCUUUUGUGGGGUGCUCGAGUGGCGAACGGGUGAGUAACACGUGAGUAACCUGCCCUUGACUUUGGGAGAACUUCAGGAAACUGGGGCUAAUAUCGGAUAGGAGCUCCUGCUGCAUGGUGGGGGUUGGAAAGUUUCGGCGGUUGGGGAUGGACUCGCGGCUUAUGAGCUUGUUGGUGGGGUAGUGGCUUACCAAGGCUUUGACGGGUAGCCGGCCUGAGAGGGUGGCCGGCCACCUUGGGACUGAGGUAGGGACCAGACUCGAACGUGAGGCAGUGGUGGGGAGUAUUACACAGUGGGCGGAAGCGUGAUACGACGGCGCCGCGUGCGGAAUGACGGCCUUCGGGUUAUGAACAGCUUUCGCCUGUGACGAAGCGUGAGUGACGGUAAUGGGUAAAGAAGCACCGGCUAACUACGUG